rnacentral:lncRNA from 1 species
AGAGCGUAGAGAGCCACACUGCGCAUGCUCCUCAGGGGAGGGCUGCCUGCAGCGCGACGCGGGCGGGCGGGUGGUGGGGAUUCCAUUCAAGGGACACCUCGGUAGCAGCCACCUGGCCACGACAGCGUCCGCGUCCCAGACUCUGCCCGACUCCGGGCUCGUCCGAACUCGGUUGAGUUGGAAGAGAAACAAGGCAAAUGGCAGGAAAAUCAAAUGAGAUCAUGACUUCACCAGAGCAAAACCGAGAUCCCUCGCCCCCAGUGAAAGCAAACAAAAGCUGGAAGAGAACGAGUUCGACCUGAUCUCCUCCGCCUUCUCCACCCCCAUCUCCAGGCCCAGACCCGGAGACGCCGGGGUUCAGAGGGGAGACUCAGAGUCCCAGAGCGCCCUCCACCCCGAGAAAGACCCAGAGCUGCCCUUGGGAUUCCAGGACAAGGAACCAGAGGAGUGUCCUCUAAGGAGGCUGCUGGGCGGGAUCACGAUAAGCGUCCAGGGACCGUGCCCUCCAGCUCCGCUGCUCCACCCAUGGCCAUCUGGGACUUGCUGGGACCAACAAAUUGAGGCAGACGUGGUGGCCCUCCAGCUUCGGAACCAUCGUUCACCCUGCAUCUGUCUUUGCUUUCACGUUCUUGGAAUCUCAAGACCUCAGAGGGUGAAGAGGGGGCCAGCCUCCUAGAAGAUGGACGGGAGCCAUGGCACCUGAGCCGGAGCCAGACUGCUGCUGGCCACGCGAGGGCAGCCAUCUGGACCCUCCAGCCCUCGUCGAGUGGUCAGGUGACCACGGUCACACGCAUGAGCCCAGGAGAGGCCAGCAGAACCACCCAGUGUGCCAGUAAGACACGACCAGCUGGCCCUUUCCUGGAGCCAUCAAGGCUUGGGUGGUUUGUUACACAGCAGCUAGAGCUCCAAUCAUUGUUAACACAGUGAAAGCGGAGGCUCGGCCUUGAAACCACAGCCGUAAAGAGGAUUCCAGCAUGACACAGGGAUGACAGCACUUUCUGGAGGCUUUGCCCGAACACCCCUACUGCGUCCUUAGCACAUUCAUUAGGAUUCCGGGAGCCCAACCCUGCUUUGGCUUUUCGCUUGCACGUUAAAUAUUUGACCACCAUUUCCCACCUGAAAGAAAGAGCUACCUUUAGCACUGGGGACACAGAUACAUUUGGCACAAUAAUGUCUUCUAAGAACUCUCAGGACAACAAAGGAGGUAGACAAGAACCUUAUUGUAUUCGCUCAGCAAAUAUCUGUGUCCCAGGCACUAUGCAGAGGGCUGGGAAUACAAUGAUAGGAAAGCCACAAAUCCAGACUCACAGGGUCGGAGCCUGGCCCUGAAGGGGACGCUGCUGAAAAGAAAAUGCAUUAACGGAUAAUGGCAAACAGUGCUAAAUGCUGUGAAGCAGCAGCCCAGAUGGCUCUGGAAGAGAAUUAGUCUGGUGAGAGGAGGCCAGAAAGGUUUUACUGGAGGAAGAGCAUUUCGCACAAAGACUCAAAAGAGCAGAUGAAGUGCCUGGCCAAAGCGGAGGGGAAGAAGGUUCCAGGCCCGAGGGAAUAUGGCGGUGGCCCUCACCAGGAGCAGUUAGGUUAACCUAGAACCCAACUCUAUUGUACCUUUAGACACAGAGUGGCUUUUGCCUGGUUUUACCAUACAUUGAAUUUUCCUGGAAUGCAAGGACCAUGCCAGUUGAGAGAAGGCUGAGGUGGAUUUGCUUGGGGAUUCACACUGGUCACCCUCCUGGAGGGAGAGCACUGGCAGCAACUCCACUCCACGUGCUGGCGGCACAUGAGCGGUCAACACCCCACACCUAGACCUGCCCGCACGUGGAGCGGUCCCUCUCACCUGUUUCUACCUGUUCUGCUCAAGCACCUGCCUCCUUCAUUGGGACUUGCAGCAUUAUAAUAUAUAUGGUUUUAUUAUACAUUCCACUUAUUCUUCCUUAUUUGAGAGUUUCAGAAUGACAUGUGUAUGUUUUCAAUCCAAUGAGUAGGUAGGUUAUAUUAUUUAUGAGGUUCAUUUUGGGGUAGACAAAGCAGCCCUGGAUCUGAUGAGGUUAAAACCACAGGUUAAGACCUGCCUUUCGCUGUGGGACAGGGAGUUGGGCUGGUGUAAGAACUACCAGGAGGAAGGGGGUUGGAGCCCAGAGACCUGGGAGCAGGGUGGGACCAGAUGAGGCUGGCAGAGGACUGGGGACAUCACAACCCUCGACUCUGCCGGAGGGGAUGCGAAAAGGUACCAUCUGGUGGUACCUCCGAGGUGCAACAUGGAACAUCACCCGAAACAGCCAGUCCGUUCCUAGGCAAGACCCAAGAGAAGUGGAAACAUGUCCUGAACACAGAUGUUCACAGCAGCACUAUUCGUAUGAGCCCAAAAGAAGAAACAACUAAAAUGCCCAUCAACUAGUGAAUGCAUGAACCAAAGAGUAGGUUCUUCAUAUAAUGGAAUAUUAUUCAGCCACAGAAAGGAAUGAACUACUGAUACAUACUGUGAUAUGGACGAACCGUGAAAACGCUCUGCUGAGUGAAAGAAGCCAGACGCAAAAGGCCACAGAGUAUGCAGUUCAGUUUACAUGAAAUGUCCAGAAGAGGCAAAUCCACAGAAGCAGAAAGAAGAUUUGGGGUUGCCAGAGGCUGGGGCUGAGGAGGUGAUGGAAAGUGACUGACAGCGGGUCUGGAGUUUCCUUGGCGGGCGAUGGAAAUAUUUUGGACUUAAAGAGUGGUGAGAAUGGUGCGACUUUGUUAAUAUUGUAAGUAAAACAACAUCAACA